AGAGUUUGAUCAUGGCUCAGAAUUAACGCUGGCGGCAUGCCUAACACAUGCAAGUCGCACGAGAAAGCCUCCUUCGGGAGGCAAGUAAAGUGGCGCACGGGUGAGUAACGCGUGGAUAAUCUACCUCAUUCUGGGGGAUAACGCACCGAAAGGUGCGCUAAUACCGCAUAACCCGGUUGAUUUUCGGAUUGACCGGUAAAGGUGACCUCUUCAUGAAAGUUACCGGGAAGAGAUGAGUCCGCGUCCCAUUAGCUUGUUGGUGGGGUAAUGGCCUACCAAGGCUCCGAUGGGUAGCUGGUCUGAGAGGACGAUCAGCCACACUGGAACUGGAACACGGUCCAGACUCCUACGGGAGGCAGCAGUGAGGAAUAUUGCGCAAUGGGGGAAACCCUGACGCAGCGAUGCCGCGUGGGUGAAGAAGGCCUUCGGGUCGUAAAGCCCUGUCAAGUGGGAAGAAAUGUCUUAGGGCCAAUAUCCUUAAGGCUUGACGGUACCACUGAAGGAAGCACCGGCUAACUCCGUGCCAGCAGCCGCGGUAAGACGGAGGGUGCAAGCGUUAUUCGGAUUUAUUGGGCGUAAAGAGUGUGUAGGCGGCCGGUCAAGCCAGAUGUGAAAGCCCAGGGCUUAACCCUGGAAGUGCAUUUGGAACUGGUUGGCUUGAGUUCGGGAGAGGGAAGUGGAAUUCCGGGUGUAGAGGUGAAAUUCGUAGAUAUCCGGAGGAACACCGGUGGCGAAGGCGACUUCCUGGACCGAAACUGACGCUGAGACACGAAAGCGUGGGGAGCAAACAGGAUUAGAUACCCUAGUAGUCC
rnacentral:rRNA from 1 species